UAUGUAAUACUACUUACACUAAAAAACAUUUGAUCAGUAUUGGUGGCCUCAAUGAGCCUGCUUUCAAAUGCAGACUUUUUACGGCCACUCACAAGUAAUGCUCAAUGUUGAGCUUGGAUCGGUAUUUCGUUUUGAGAGAGGUAACGGCAGUGUGUACUUUGUACUUUUGUAAAAUAUGAAAUUAUCAAUAAAGUUCCUGAAAUAAAAGUACGAAUAUCCCAAUGCGCCCCCACCUGUAUUACCACUGCGAGCCACCAGCGGGUUGCGCCCCACAGCUUGAUAUACGCUACUGCUGCUUCCUCCAAGCGAAGAGAAGGAAGCACGGCCGAGUCGAGAGGACACAAAACUAACCAGUGUCGUCGAGAGGAGCGCCACCAAAACAGUUUUUAGAAAAAAAAGUGUUGCUCUCUGCGCCGUGGACCAUCUGGGCAUUUGGCCCCAACGUAAAAACGUGAGGAGCCACCAGCUCCCGAACGAGAAGCACCCUUGGUCGGCGGUUUCCAGGAAAAGGCGACAUUCCAGAGCUGCUGGUGGUGUGUGUGGCUGCAGCCAUGAUUCAGAAGUGUCAGACGCCGGGGACGCAUCCAUCUAACCCAACACACGCAGUCAGCUCGUCUGCCUUCCAGCCACAAGAAGUGUACAUAACCAAUAUGAGGCCGUGUUCCUCUUAUGUCCAUUAUCAGAGCUCUGCUUAAUUGUCACUUUUCUAUUCAUUUUUUUUCUCCAGAAGAGACGUAAUGUCUUCUAAAAAAGAAGUUAUUUUAAAAUGAUUACACUAAUUUACCUGACAGGCAUAAUUUAGCCAUUAUAAUAGUCAAACGCCCGUGUUAAUAUUUAAUGUGGAAUGAUUGAUUAUGAAUUAUUAUGCAUCAGCUAAUGUUGCCUGUUCUCACAAUACACUCUUCUUUCCUCUUUCACUUCAGCUUUGCUUCUCUAACACAAUUUGGAAAAGUGUAGGAUAUUAGAAAAUAAGACUUUUAUCAUGUGCACUUACUCUUCUACCAGGGAUUUGUCACUUUGCAUGUAGAUUUUCUAUUUCUAUACAGCUUUGUGUUUGUGACGUUAAUCCCAACACUUAUUUCUAGGUAAACAUUAAUACGGAGUUAGGGGGUUUCUUUAACGGCACUGUUGACUCAAACUCGACUCAACAAAAAAACAUCUUAUCUCUGUGAACAAAACAGAUUUUAGACACUCGGGGGCAGCGUCAGCAGAUUGUGAACACAAGAUUGAGAUGUGACCUUUGUUUGUUUUAUAGGUGUCACAAAUAGCAUGUUCACAGCCACCAUAUCAUUCAUGUGCGGUUUUCCUAUAAUCUUCUUUCAUGCAGUUUAUGUUCUGAUCUGAGGGGAAGAUUUGUCUCUUCAGCUGCUGAACGCUCCGCUGUGUUCACCAGCUAGCAUUGUGUUGUUUGGCCUACAGCGGAGCUUUAGACAUCUUUUGUUUUUUGUUGAAGACGGCUGCUUGCUGAAUUAAAAAAAAAAAAAAAAAAAAAAAAAAGACUCAAUGGAAAUGAGAACAAAAAUAUAAAGUUCUUAUUGUAACAGUAUUCUAGUAAUGGAGGGCCGUAGGCCUCAACGACAUCAUAUCCUAUCAACCUGCAGGUGGUUCAGUUUGUCGAUGGGAGGAAAUGGGAUCUUUACACCCAAUUUGAGGUGAAGUGACUCAGAGUUUACAUGUAGGAUAUCCCGUGACCCUGGCGUAAUGACUUCCAGACUGCAGGUGGUCCUGCUCGUGUGUGUCAGUGAUGGAGCUCCAUAAACAGACUUAAUCACAUUCCUCCAGCAGUCUCUCUCUCGCUCUCUUUUUUCUGACCUGUCCAACCACCACUCCCACCUGCCCCGUGCAGCAUUUCCUGCUCUACAUCAACUGCUCUUGCACUCCAAUAUUGACACAAAUGGUUUUAGAUUGGAGUUGGUUUUAAAGACCUGUGGGCCAGAGGGUGCCACGCUGCGUCGGCAUCAUACGUUUACACCUCACAGCUUCACAUAUUCACAGUGUGUGCACACAUGAUCACAUGCACACAGAUAUGCAGUAGUGUAAGUACACUGUGUGUGCGCGAUGUGAAUAAAGUUAACCGGACUCAGUUGUACUGAAGAAAAUCAUGGAAAUAAGUGGGAGCCGUCACAGAAAACGGCUGUUUACGCAUCCUUUUCUCUUUUUAAAAGCACAUUCGUGACAUCCCAAAGGUUGUCCGGGUUUGCAAUACAACAGCCACUCGUUUCCAAGUACAAACGCGGUUUUUGUUUAAUUGUUUUCAGAUUUUUUCCCUCUUUCCUCUACCCAUUGAAGCCUUUCCAGGUCUCAAUAACAGAGUGGUCGUCACAGUCCAAACUGCAUGAACAGAAGUGGAUCCUCCUGUGAUGAUGCCCAUGGUUCCUCGUGGGGCAGAAAACGAUGCUGAUUAAGACGGACUUCCAUGACACACAAAUGCGCUUUGUUGUUAUUAAGCAAGAGCUCCGUACUUACUGGACACCCGUAUAUUCACAUACGUGGCUAAUAGCUGAGCGUUUCACUACAAUCUUGAUGAUUUCUUUUUUUCUAGAGUUUACAAUUAAAGUCCCUAAAACCUUCAAUGCUCUGAACACAAAUGACACAAAAACCAAAUCAAUUAAGGGAUCUUUACAUUAUUUUUGCAAAAGCAGGGCUCAGACAGAAGGGUUUAUGGGUAGUUCACCUCUUCUGACCAUCAAAAGGGGAAUCUGGAACAGGACCUUGUUGUUUACAGACGUUAGAAUCAUGUGCAGGCUUUACACAUCCAGUCUAAAACCUCCCAGACAUAUUUAGCAUUUAAAGCGAUCUUAAGCGACCUUUUUUAAGAUCGCUUCCAGGCAGGACCAAAAUAGGUAAUGAGACACCCAUGAGGUUAAUGUUAGCUCACACAAUACUGGUAAACAAUAUUAAAACUGGUCAAAUAAACAGUCUAAUUAGUCCAAAAGUAAAAAAAAACAACACAUUUCCCAAAUUUACCAAAAUAUUGUGCUUUACUCCGACCAUAUCUAUUGCCAUUAAGCCUUUUCACUUUUAUUGUGGAAAACCAAUAUGGUGUUGAGUGAUGAUCUUGUUAUAUUGUCCAAGCCUACUGACGUUAUUCCAGCUGCGCUGCCAAAAAUGCUUCCAGUGUAUGAACUGACAUGAACUUGGUGAUCACUAAAGGUCCUCCCACCUAGUUCUAGAUGGAAGUGGAGGGACAAUAGGAGCAUUUGUCUAUGGAAAUAAUUGUGCCUAAUUAAACAUUACUGAGUCAUUAAAUCAUUAUUUUCAGGUAGCUAAAGUAAUCAUUAUUAUGAUCCGUCAUCCGCUUUAUUUUUAUAAAGCACAAUGAUGAGGAAAAUGUCUGCCCUGGAAAGGGG
ensembl:lncRNA